UACAGAGGUCCCGAGCGUUGUUCGGAUUCACUGGGCGUAAAGGGUGCGUAGGUGGCGUGGUAAGUUUGAUGUGAAAGCUCAGGGCUUAACCCUGAAAUGGCAUUGAAUACUACUGUGCUGGAGGUUUGGAGGGGGGACUGGAAUUCUUGGUGUAGCAGUGAAAAUGCGUAGAUAUCAAGAGGAACACCAGUGGCGAAGGCGAGUCCCUGGACAACACCUGACACUGAGGCACGAAAGCUAGGGGAGCAAACAGG
rnacentral:rRNA from 1 species